rnacentral:lncRNA from 1 species
AUGGCAAAGGGGGCCCCAUCGCAAAGAGGGGGGUGCUGGAGUCACUGGGGGGCUGGGCCUCCGGCACUCUGGGGUGCAGCAGUCAGUGGGAAAAAAGAUCAAUUUCACCUGCAGAAGAAGGGGAGCAGGGAUCCUUCUUCACCCGGGGGACAGACGGGGUGUCUCAGGGCGGAAUCCUGCUCCUUGGCCCCGGGAGCGGAGGGCCAGAUGGGUUGCUCCAGGGGUCCUGAUCCUUCAGCGGGGGGGACUACGACGACAGAUGCGACUCCAGGUCCUUCACCCCGCCCCACGGGGCCCCAGGAAGGCCCCGAGGGGGGUCGGCGAGGCGCAGUGGGGCCGACUCGGUGUCUUCAGCGCCUCGCUCCCCGGCGGGCGAACAGCAGCAGCGCCGGACGGUGCCCUCUCAAGCCCAUCAAGAAGUCUGGGAAAACGGAGCAGCUAAAAUACUCUGGCUCCUCCAAGAAAAAAGGAUUCGGAAGAGUAGGUUGGAAAUCUCCCUCCACAUAUCAAAAAGGGAGGACGUUCUGUUCCUGCUCAGGGACUUGCAGCCCCAGCAUGUUGGAAGAUGUCACUCCAGGUUCAGGAGGUUGGUUGGUUUCUCCUUGGGUCCUCUGCUGUCACGUGGCUCCUGUUCCAGCAUCUGAGGAAUCUGCUCCCUGAGGCCAUGUUCGGUGAUGAUAGUCUCGCUGGCUCUGACUCAAUAGCCAGUAGCUCUGCCAGGGGGGUCACGGGGCACCAGCCUGGCCUUUCCUCAGCUUUCUCCCUGCUUGCCCCACAAACUGGGUGGCUGGGGGAGUUACCAGCUGGUUUUUUUCCAGGGAGCCUCUUUGGAUGAGCCCCCUUAGCUCCUACCUUCUGUCCAGGCAGAAAUAAAAAAC